UCAGUUCAGAUUGCAGGCUGNAACCCGCCCUGCAUGAAGUCGGAAUUGCUAGUAAUCGCGGAUCAGCAUGCCGCGGUGAAUACGUUCCCGGGCCUUGUACACACCGCCCGCCACACCAUGGGAGCCGGUAAUACCCGAAGUCAGUAGUCCAACCACGUGAGGACGCUGCCGAAGGUAGGAUUGGCGACUGGGGUGAAGUCGUAACAAGGUAGC
rnacentral:rRNA from 1 species